CACCGAUGUAGCAUAUUCCAUGGGCAAACAAAAAUAAAUGCGAAAGCAAAUGUAUCCCUGGCAGCUUUGCACAUGGGCUUCCCAUAAACGUGCACCAAACCCCAGCACUGGGCCACUGCCCAGCUCUUUUCUCCUUAUCAGAGAGUGUGGCAAGCUUGCCUUUUUUUUUUUUUUUUAACUGCCAGUCUACCACCUAGUGACCUUCCCUGGCAGCAACGUGCCAUGGGAAUAAGGUGAGAGGACCUGAGGCUGCUUUAGACUUUAUGAUCUGGACCAGCACCUGUGCAGGGCGAGUGCAAUAUUAGGGUGAGAUGCUCCUGUUGCAAACGCACAGGGGAUCCUGCAAGAGCAGGCAAGGUCUGUGGUCCAGUGGAAAGUGCCACGACUGUGCGAGUCCCCUUGUGCCCGAUCUCAGCGCCGUGGGCAUGCUGCUGCCGUGUCCGUGGGUGUGCUGAGCUGUUUUUAACGGAGCAAAAUGCCACCCCGAAUACCUCCCGGUGGCCGGGGCUGUGCCCGGCUCCGGGAGCAGCAGCAGUGGGUGUGAGGCUGGGCUGGCUGACAUACACCCACACGCACACACAGCCACACACACACACACACUCCAAGCAGCCCAUUUGCUGGAGGGGUGUGCAUGUGCGUGCGAGGGAGUGGAAAGGGGUGGCGGGGAUGGAGGAAGGGAAGCCAGGGGAAAGUCUGACACUCGGCGCAGAAGGAGCGAGACCCUCCGUCGCCGCCGGCGCCGUCGGGGAGGAGCUCGACUCUCUCGCAACGCCUACCAAAACCCAGCCACCGGCCCCGGCCCCGCACCGGGCUCACCCUGCACCUCGCCGCCGCUCCGGCUCCCCGGCAGGUGCGCCUCCAUUUCUGAAGACAAAUGGGAGGCAGGAAUCUCUCCUGGGAUGAUCACUGCAGGGUUUGGGACUUAACCCACCCCCCCGCAUUCCCGCUUGACUCAGCAAUAAUGCAAAUACAGUGGUGCAGCACUGGAAGAACAGGCACAGGCCUCAGCUUGCUCAGGAAGCCUCAUCCUUUCUUGCUGUCAUUUGCACCCCAGUACUCUACCACUUUUAAACCACACCAGCAGUCCCCCAGGACAAUAUCUGCCAUUUGUAUCAGCCAUCUGAAAUUACUGCCUGAUGAUUGCUAGAGUGAGAACAACCCACAAGCUUAUAGAUGCUCUGGAAACUGUCAAGAAAAGUGCUAUGAGAAGCACUCCUGUCACCCUAUGUCUCAAUCACAGAUCUUCAGAUAAACAAAACUCAAAGUCUGCGUGCAUGAGGCUAUGAUUUUUCUGGGCUCAGGAGAAAUGUGACUAUUCUCCGUGUCCUAGAAAGAGAGUCGUGAGACCUCACCCUGCGUUGUAUAUUACACAGAAAGAAUUAGCAAUGAGCUCUUUCUACGCCUCUGGAGGAGCACAAAGCAGCUGCAGUGGGGCUAAGGGUCUAGACAGCUGAUCUCAUUAAGGAUGGAGGACGGUCAGCACAACAGAAGAAAUGUUCGAUAGCUUGUCAAUUCAUGACCGUCAGGUCUAAGAGGCUUCCAUUCCCUCAGACAAAUGCUGAUCCUAUUAAUAUGAAUGGUUGAACUUCAUUUGACAUCACCCAGUCCAGGGUUUGAGUGCAAGUACAUUAUUGCCUGUGACUUUAAUGCAAGUCACAUACCCGUGCUGAGCAGACAAACGAAACAGUUUCCAGUAGUCCUUGAUUGUUUAGCUUUUGCAGUGCUGUGUGAAGAUGGUCAGUUGGUGUAUUCCUCAGUAACUGUGUUCCAUGCUUUAGCAUCUUCAAGAUAUUUGCUGAAUUUUGUAAACUUCAUCUUUACACUUAUAAAUAAACGUGUGUUUAUUUAAAA